rnacentral:lncRNA from 1 species
GACAGCUGUCCCCAGCCAUCACUCACGCUCGGGAGUGAGGGAGCCAUCGCCAAACAGCAAAUCAUCGUCAAGUCAAUUGGCCUCGACGUGCCUCCAAAAGGGAGAGGGAUGCUCCCUUGGCUUCCAUGGAAAAUAUUCUCCAAGCAAGCUCCCUUGCCCCAGGCUCCAUCUUCUUCAUCUCCUUUUUUUUUUUUUUUCUGGUUUUAGCGGGAACGCCGCGAACACACGUAUUCUCCAGGGUCCUCACUUGGUGCUGGAUUUCACCAACAGCAGCACCACAGGGGAGGUCAGAGGACCGUCAGUCAACAGGUGAGCCAGUGGAAGUAUAAACAUUGCCACAUCCUCUCUUCCUCCUGCCCUGGAGCCCAGAGAGGUUUUAUGUCCAUGUCAUUUAAGGAAAGGAGCCCACGAGCAGAAGAGACCGUGUGGUUUCUAUUCAUGACGUUCUCAUCAUUGUGAAAUCUCUGCAAGAACGACAUGGAAUGGAAACAGGUAUUGGAGACGAAGGCAACACGUUGUCGUCUGUUCUACUUCUGCGAAAUGGGCACAUUCAUGUCUUAAAAUGAUGCAGACUAAAACAACCGAGCAUCUUCCAAGGAAAUCUAAUCACCUGCUGUUCACCUGAUUGCCACUUCCUAGUGCUUCUGUGACACAUCACCACCAGCCAGGUGACCUUCACCUAGUGUCUGAAUCAGCACCACGCUCUCCUGUUGCUAUUCAGGGAGGGCCUUGGCACACGGGAGCUUUACAUGCUCCUGGAAUGAUACUUUCUGGGCUGAUCUUCUCGUUAAAGCAUGGAGAUGAGAUGUCGGCCAUUAUCAGCUGGCAAGCUAGAGCUACAGGCAGACAUAUAUA